rnacentral:rRNA from 1 species
UACGUAGGGUGCGAGCGUUAAUCGGAAUUACUGGGCGUAAAGCGUGCGCAGGCGGUUCGCUAAGACCGAUGUGAAAUCCCCGGGCUUAACCUGGGAACUGCGUUGGUGACUGGCGGGCUAGAGUGUGGCAGAGGGGGGUAGAAUUCCACGUGUAGCAGUGAAAUGCGUAGAGAUGUGGAGGAAUACCGAUGGCGAAGGCAGCCCCCUGGGCUAACACUGACGCUCAUGCACGAAAGCGUGGGGAGCAAACAGG